rnacentral:rRNA from 1 species
GCAGCCGCGGUAAUUCCAGCUCCAAUAGCGUAUAUUAAAGUUGUUGCAGUUAAAAAGCUCGUAGUUGAAUUUCGGGAUCAAUAUGUCGGUCGUGCCUUCGGUACGUACUGGUAUCAUUGGUCUCUCCUUUCUGACGAACCAUGAUGUCAUUAAUUUGGUGUUAUGGGGAGUUAGGACUGUUACUUUGAAAAAAUUAGAGUGUUUAAAGCAGGCUUUAGCUUGAAUACAUUAGCAUGGAAUAAUGAAAUAGGACGUUCGAACCUAUUUUGUUGGUUUCUAGGAUCAACGUAAUGAUUAAUAGGGAUAGUUGGGGGCAUUAGUAUUCAAUUGUCAGAGGUGAAAUUCUUGGAUUUAUUGAAGACUAACUACUGCGAAAGCAUUUGCCAAGGAUGUUUUCAUUAAUCAAGAACGAAAGUUAGGGGAUCGAAGACGAUCAGAUACCGUCGUAGUCUUAACCAUAAACUAUGCCGACUAGGGAUCGGAUGAUGUUAAUUUUUUAAUGACUCAUUCGGCGCCUUACG